rnacentral:rRNA from 1 species
AGCGAACGCUGGCGGCAGGCCUAAAACAUGCAAGUCGAGCGCUCGUAGCAAUACGAGAGCGGCAGACGGGUGAGUAACACGUGGGAACGUACCCUUUGGUUCGGAACAACCCAGGGAAACUUGGGCUAAUACCGGAUACGUCCGCAAGGAGAAAGAUUUAUCGCCGAAGGAUCGGCCCGCGUCUGAUUAGCUUGUUGGUGAGGUAACGGCUCACCAAGGCGACGAUCAGUAGCUGGUCUGAGAGGAUGAUCAGCCACACUGGGACUGAGACACGGCCCAGACUCCUACGGGAGGCAGCAGUUAGGAAUCUUGGACAAUGGGCGCAAGCCUGAUCCAGCCAUGCCGCGUGAGUGAUGAAGGCCUUAGGGUUGUAAAGCUCUUUCAGCGGGGAAGAUAAUGACGGUACCCGCAGAAGAAGCCCCGGCUAACUUCGUGCCAGCCGCCGCCGUAA